UAGGGAAUCUUCCGCAAUGGGCGAAAGCCUAACGGAGCAACGCCGCGUGAGUGAUGAAGGUCUUCGGAUCGUAAAACUCUGUUAUUAGGGAAGAACAUAUGUGUAAGUAACUGUGCACAUCUUGACGGUACCUAAUCAGAAAGCCACGGCUAACUACGUGCCAGCAGCCGCGGUAAUACGUAGGUGGCAAGCGUUAUCCGGAAUUAUUGGGCGUAAAGCGCGCGUAGGCGGUUUUUUAAGUCUGAUGUGAAAGCCCACGGCUCAACCGUGGAGGGUCAUUGGAAACUGGAAAACUUGAGUGCAGAAGAGGAAAGUGGAAUUCCAUGUGUAGCGGUGAAAUGCGCAGAGAUAUGGAGGAACACCAGUGGCGAAGGCGACUUUCUGGUCUGUAACUGACGCUGAUGUGCGAAAGCGUGGGGAUCAAACAGGAUUAGAUACCCUGGUAGUCCACGCCGUAAACGAUGAGUGCUAAGUGUUAGGGGGUUUCCGCCCCUUAGUGCUGCAGCUAACGCAUUAAGCACUCCGCCUGGGGAGUACGACCGCAAGGUUG
rnacentral:rRNA from 1 species